rnacentral:rRNA from 6 species
GCUUAUGAGUAGAAUUGAUUCUCUGUGUGCGCCGUGUGCGGAUAGCUUGCUAUGCGUGUGUGGCUGCGUGUGGAUUGAGUCGAGACGUAACUUAUUGCCGUUCGGGACGUUGACGAAAUGGAGCGAUUUGACCCGUCUUGAAACACGGACCAAGGAGUCUAACAUGUGUGCAAGUGUUAGGGUGUGGAAACCCCAGCGCGUAAUGAAAGUAAAGGAUAGCGUAAGUUAUCUGAGGUAGGAAAUGCUGCGGGUUCGUCCUGCGGCGUGGCACUAUCGACCGAUCAUGAACCCUUGUGGUGAAAGAUUUGAGUUUGAGCACAUAUGUUGGUACCCGAAAGAUGGUGAACUAUGCCUGAGUAGGGUGAAGCCAGGGGAAACUCUGGUGGAAGCUCGUAGCGAUUCUGACGUGCAAAUCGAUCGUCAAACUUGGGUAUAGGGGCGAAAGACUAAUCGAACCAUCUAGUAGCUGGUUCCCUCCGAAAUUUCCCUCAGGAUAGCAGCAACUUAUUUACGAUAGUUUUAUGAGGUAAAGCGAAUGAUUAGAGGAUUCGGGGAAGAAACUUUCUCGACCUAUUCUCAAACUUUAAAUCUGUAAGACCUGCAGGUUUCUUAAUU